UACGGAGGAUGCAAGCGUUAUCCGGAAUUAUUGGGCGUAAAGCGUCCGUAGGUGGCUAAUCAAGUCUGCUGUCAAAGCGUGGAGCUUAACUCCAUACCGGCGGUGGAAACUGAUGAGCUAGAGUGCGAUAGGGGUAGCAGGAAUUCCCAGUGUAGCGGCGAAAUGCGUAGAGAUUGGGAAGAACACCAGCGGCGAAAGCGUGCUACUGGGUCUGCACUGACACUGAGGGACGAAAGCUAGGGGAGCGAAAGGG
rnacentral:rRNA from 1 species